rnacentral:rRNA from 1 species
UAAGCCGUUGAAGGUGUCCUGUGAGGGGUGCUGGAGGUAUCAGAAGUGCGAAUGCUGACAUAAGUAACGAUAAAGCGGGUGAAAAGCCCGCUCGCCGGAAGACCAAGGGUUCCUGUCCAACGUUAAUCGGGGCAGGGUGAGUCGACCCCUAAGGCGAGGCCGAAAGGCGUAGUCGAUGGGAAACGGGUUAAUAUUCCCGUACUUGGUGUUACUGCGAAGGGGGGACGGAGAAGGCUAUGUUGGCCGGGCGACGGUUGUCCCGGUUUAAGCGUGUAGGUGUGUGUUCCAGGUAAAUCCGGUUCACUUUAACACUGAGGCGUGAUGACGAGGCACCACGGUGCUGAAGCAACAAAUGCCCUGCUUCCAGGAAAAGCCUCUAAGCAUCAGGUAACAUCAAAUCGUACCCCAAACCGACACAGGUGGUCAGGUAGAGAAUACCAAGGCGCUUGAGAGAACUCGGGUGAAGGAACUAGGCAAAAUGGUGCCGUAACUUCGGGAGAAGGCACGCUGACACGUAGGUGAAGUGAUUUACUCAUGGAGCUGAAGUCAGUCGAAGAUACCAGCUGGCUGCAACUGUUUAUUAAAAACACAGCACUGUGCAAACACGAAAGUGGACGUAUACGGUGUGACGCCUGCCCGGUGCCGGAAGGUUAAUUGAUGGGGUCAGCGCAAGCGAAGCUCCUGAUCGAAGCCCCGGUAAACGGCGGCCGUAACUAUAACGGUCCUAAGGUAGCGAAAUUCCUUGUCGGGUAAGUUCCGACCUGCACGAAUGGCGUAAUGAUGGCCAGGCUGUCUCCACCCGAGACUCAGUGAAAUUGAACUCGCUGUGAAGAUGCAGUGUACCCGCGGCAAGACGGAAAGACCCCGUGAACCUUUACUAUAGCUUGACACUGAACAUUGAGCCUUGAUGUGUAGGAUAGGUGGGAGGCUUUGAAGCGUGGACGCCAGUCUGCGUGGAGCCGACCUUGAAAUACCACCCUUUAAUGUUUGAUGUUCUAACGUGGACCCGUAAUCCGGGUUGCGGACAGUGUCUGGUGGGUAGUUUGACUGGGGCGGUCUCCUCCUAAAGAGUAACGGAGGAGCACGAAGGUUGGCUAAUCCUGGUCGGACAUCAGGAGGUUAGUGCAAUGGCAUAAGCCAGCUUGACUGCGAGCGUGACGGCGCGAGCAGGUGCGAAAGCAGGUCAUAGUGAUCCGGUGGUUCUGAAUGGAAGGGCCAUCGCUCAACGGAUAAAAGGUACUCCGGGGAUAACAGGCUGAUACCGCCCAAGAGUUCAUAUCGACGGCGGUGUUUGGCACCUCGAUGUCGGCUCAUCACAUCCUGGGGCUGAAGUAGGUCCCAAGGGUAUGGCUGUUCGCCAUUUAAAGUGGUACGCGAGCUGGGUUUAGAACGUCGUG